rnacentral:rRNA from 1 species
CCCUUAGAUGUUCUGGGCCACACGCGCGUUACACUGAUGAAGCCAGCGAGUAUAUCGCCUUCACCGGAAGGUGCGGGUAAUCUUGUGAAACUUCAUCGUGCUGGGGAUAGACCAUUGCAAUUAUUGGUCUUGAACGAGGAAUUCCUAGUAAGCAUGAGUCAUCAACUCGUGCUGAUUACGUCCCUGCCCUUUGUACACACCGCCCGUCGCUACUACCGAUUGAAUGGUUUAGUGAGAUCUCGGGAUUGGAGACGUUGCGCCGCAAGGCACAUCGUCCUCGAGAACUUGAUCGAACUUGAUCAUUUAGAGGAAGUAAAAGUCGUAACA